rnacentral:rRNA from 1 species
UACGAAGGGGGCUAGCGUUGCUCGGAUUGACUGGGCGUAAAGGGCGCGUAGGCGGUUCGUACAGUCAGACGUGAAAUUCCUGGGCUCAACCUGGGGGCUGCGUUUGAUACGUGCGGACUUGAGUGCGGAAGAGGGUCGUGGAAUUCCCAGUGUAGAGGUGAAAUUCGUAGAUAUCGGGAGGAACACCAGUGGCGAAGGCGGCGACCUGGACAGAUAUUGACGCUGAGGUGCGAAAGCUAGGGGAGCGAACUGG